CCCACGGGUCGUCCUAUCUCUCCCCUGUCUCAUCGAUUUCGAUGAACUACGUUGACUCACGACCCUCCUCGUGCGUGCGAGGGUGACAAGCCCCCACCAGCCCAAGCGCUUGAUGCGCCCAAGCGAAACAGCAGGUCUGUACCCGAUGCCUCUCGCGAUCUAGAUUUGGAGGAGGGGUCGCCUCCCGUUCUGUCCCGGGCAGCGGAUGUGGAGGGUUGAGAGAGAGAGAGGAGCGAGGGAGAAGCAUAGAGGAUUCUGCCGGCGGUACUGCUCAGAACGGGGACAAAGGAGGAGGCUAUUUUGGUUCUUUGAUUGAUCCAAUCCUUCCUACGCCCGUAAUUUUCUCGGACACAAAUUUCACAUCUAGCUGCGGCCAUGGGAUGGCCGGCAGGGACUCCGUCUUGCCAUUCUGCCAAAGUCGUCGGAAUCUCGCCGUUCUGCCAACCUCGCCGGAAUUUCUCCAUACUGCUGACUUCGCCAAAAUUACGUCCGCCCGUGCUCUAGGUUGAGGGUCUCAUGAUGGAUGACGUAACAGCUGUUAAAGAGGAGAAUAAAGGAUGGAAGAUGGCAUCAGAGGAGGAUGCUGAAGCUGGUAGAUCAAUUGAGCAAGAGUUCCUCACUCAUGCUACACCUUCAGGAUUUGCGCCGCACCAGUUCGAGGGCUUCGGAGCCAUGCUGCUGUUGUUGUCCUCUUUGCCGUUGCGUGCAUAUAUGAUUCUGACUCAGGGAGUAGGACUCUCUGACUCUGGCUCCUCUAUCGAUAUAGGGAGGUCGCACCUAGCCUGUUCUGCAAGGUCAAAAGGAAGAAUAUCUCUGGUUGCACAGCCCUACAGGGGAACAAAUGGAUUUCUGUGCUCCGUCGGGUCAACACCACUGAGUUGGUUCACGAAUUCACCAAAUUAUAGUUGUUGAUCAGAGAGGUGCAAAUACCAAACACAGGCAAAGAUGUCGUCUCUUCACGUUGGACAACGGAUGGAAUCUAUAUAGCGCUCUCAACCUACAGGGCAAUGUUCUGGGGCUCAUACUUGGGCACUUGCUCUCAAACUUUCUGGAAGGCUGAAAACAAAGUAAAAAAAUUAUGUUGGCCCCUGUCGCUUGGGAGGAUUCUGUCCGCGGACAAGCUGAUCCGGAGAGGAUGGCAAGGAAGCGAGAUUUGUUCGAUGUACGGUUCGCAGAAGGAGUCAACGGAGCAUCUUCUUCUGAAUAGCUGUUUCGCUCACCAAGUUUGGAGGAGGAUCGCGGCUUGGUCUGGUUUCAAGACAUUAUCACCUGAAGAUGGCCUCCGGGAGGGCAUGGUAUACUCCUGGUAGCUGGAGCUAAUGGUGUGUAUGCUUCCAAAUGUUGAUAUAAGGAAGAUGUUAUUCUGAUCAAUUCUUUCUGAUGCGAGCUUUAAACAGAUGACAUGCUAAAAACAA